rnacentral:rRNA from 1 species
AUUGAACGCUGGCGGCAUGCCUUACACAUGCAAGUCGAACGGCAGCACGGGUGCUUGCACCUGGUGGCGAGUGGCGAACGGGUGAGUAAUCUAUCGGAACGUACCUUAUUGUGGGGGAUAACGCAGCGAAAGCUGUGCUAAUACCGCAUAAUCCCUAAGGGGGAAAGCGGGGGACCGUAAGGCCUCGCGCAAUUAGAGCGGCCGAUACCUGAUUAGCUAGUUGGUGAGGUAAAGGCUCACCAAGACAACGAUCAGGAGCUGGUCUGAGAGGACGAUCAACCACACUGGGGCUGAGACACAGACCAGACUCCUACGGGAGGCAGCAGUGGGGAAUUUUGGACAAUGGGGGCAACCCUGAUCCAGCAAUGCCGCGUGAGUGAAGGAGGCCUUCGGGUUGUAAAGCUCUUUUGUCAGGGAAGAAACCGCAGCUCUAACACAGUUUGCGAAUGACGGUACCUGAAGAAUAAGCACCGGCUAACUACGUGCCAGCCGCCGCCGUAA